ACCGCCAGGUGCAAUGGCUCAUGCCUGUAAUCCGAGCAUUUUGGGAAGCCAAGGCAGGAGGAUCACUUGAGCCCAGCAGUUCAAGACCAACCUGGGCAACAAGAUGUGAAAAAUGAGCAUAAAGAAGUUGAGUAAGGCCAGGCACAGUGGCUCAUGCCUGUAAUCCCAGAGGCCAAGAUGCCUGACACACAGAAGAGAGCACUUGGAGUCCAGAUGACCCACCCUUGUUCUACUCUUUCCAAAAUUUCCAUCGUAACUGAUGUCACUAGGUCAAGAAAACAUCCCAGCAACUGAGCUGGGGAGGAAAUUGAAAAGAAUGUACUUAAGGGAGGUGGAUAUAGUGUAAAGUAGGACAGAGAUUCUCAACCCUGUUUCCUCUACAGCAUACCCGAGAAAUGAAAGUCACAUCUGCAACUUACUCCCAAGAGUAAGCAGGUAUGUUU